rnacentral:rRNA from 1 species
CCUACGGGAGGCAGCAGUGAGGAAUAUUGGUCAAUGGCCGGAAGGCUGAACCAGCCAAGUCGCGUGAGGGACGACUGCCCUAUGGGUUGUAAACCUCUUUUAUAAGGGAAGAAUAAAUGCUACGUGUAGCAUGAUGCCUGUACCUUAUGAAUAAGCAUCGGCUAACUCCGUACCAGCCGCCGCGGUAAUACGGCGGAUGCGAGCGUUAUCCGGAUUUAUUGGGGUUAACGGGUUCGUGGGCGGUUUUUUAAGUUAGUGGUUAAACGUCGGGGCUUCACCUUGAUUUGCCAUUAAUACUGGAAGACUCGAGUUCAGACGAGGUAGGCGGAAUAAGUGGAGUAGCGGUGAAAUGCUUAGAUAUAACGUAGAACACCGAUAGCGAAGGCAGCUUACCAG